rnacentral:rRNA from 1 species
GAGUUUGAUCAUGGCUCAGGACGAACGCUGGCGGCGUGCUUAACACAUGCAAGUGGAGCGACGAACCAGGCUUCGGCCUGGGGCAAAGCCGCGAACGGGGUGAGUAUCACGUGGGUAACCUGCCCCGAUGACCGGGAUAACCCGAGGAAACUCGAGCUAAUACCGGAUGUGCUCGCGGCACAUCAGUGCAGUGAGUAAAGGAAGCUUCGGCCUCCGCAUUGGGAUGGGCCCGCGGCCCAUUAGCUUGUUGGUGAGGUAAAAGCUCACCAAGGCAACGAUGGGUAGCUGGUCUGAGAGGACGAUCAGCCACACUGGGACUGAGACACGGCCCAGACUCCUACGGGAGGCAGCAGUGGGGAAUCUUGCGCAAUGCGCGAAAGCGUGACGCAGCAACGCCGCGUGAGGGAAGACGGCCU